rnacentral:sRNA from 1 species
GCUGGGCAUGGUGAUGCACGCCUGUAAUCCCAGCGGUUUGGGAGGCUGAGGCAGGAGGAUCAUGAGUUCAAAGCCAGCUUCAGCAACUUAGUGAGGAUCUAAGAAACUCAAUGAGACCCUGUCUCUA